CUAACCUGAGUGCUCUAACCCCCUCAGGUUUUCAGAUGACACUCUGGACUGGCCUUAAGCUGAAUAGUAAUUAGCUCAAUUUAUAGGGACGUUACCUGUAUGCUAGGUGUUGCUGAUCCAAGAUGGACAAAACAAUGGCAGACUUUGAGGAACUCACUCUGUUCCUUAAACCAAGGAUGAGCUGGUAAUCCCCCAGUGAACAUAUACAGAGUAUAAUUUUAAAAACAGGUUAAAAACAUUCUUUUUAAUCAGAAUGACAAUGUAAUUAACAGAUCUGAGAAGAAGACCAAUAUUCAAGUGUAAGAGUCCUUUACUUUGUAGGUGACCCUGCCUCCUGCUGAGAGUGCACUAAGUAUAUGCCAGGGCAGUUAGUCAGCGAUUCUGCUUCAGGAAUGAGCCCAUGUAUCCAUUAUACCAAUGUUACAUUUUCAAAAUGGAAUGCAUUUAAAAUGUAAACAUAAAUUAAACAUUUCCUUCCCAGGUUGGGGAUCUAAGAUCCCUCCAGCUGCACGGUGCAGCUUAAAUAAAGUUGGUCAGGUCAGUCACCUGCACUUUGUGCUGAAUAAACAGCCCAGUGACAAAACAGAAGAAUAAAAUGACGAUUUACACCCAAAAAGGGUUAGUUGCAGAGGAAAGGGCCUGGAGCAGAGGCAUGGAGGGCUUCUCAAUUUAGUGAAUGAAAGCUGAUUGGAAGAAACAAUUUAUGUCAUUUCUUUUACUUUUCCUGGAGCAGAGACCUGGAGAGCUACUAGGCUUUCCCUGGUUGGGUGAGGAGUCAGGCUGGGUACAUUGGGGAAUUGCUGAUGGUGAUCAGAUUAGUUUGUAAUCCAAUCUGAUCUAAUCCAACAGGAUGUAAUCAAUGCUGGUAUUUUAAAUCAAUUUUCAACUGUUUGAAGUGAAAGUUGCUCAGUCCUGUCAGACUCUUUUGCAACCCCAUGGACUGUAGCCUGCCAGGUUCUUCUGUCUGUGGAGUUCUCCAGGCCAGAAUACUGGAGUGGGUAGCCUAUUGCUUCUCCAAGGGAUCUUCCUGACUCAGGAAUCAAAUCAGGGUCUCCUGCAUUGCAGGCAGAUUCUUUACCAGCUAAACUACCAGGGAAGCCGCUUCAACUGUUUAGUAGCUCUUUCUAGCCAUGAUAAUAGUUUAUUAGUAGUAAAAUUUAGUGCUUCUGGGAUGAGGGUAAGAACCCUCAGGGAUGGUGUCUUGGACUGGUCUGAUUCAGGCCUACUGGUUUAGAGGAAACAGCCAUUGGUUCAUUCAAGAAGUAUUUAUUUGGUACUCGGGUACCAGGCACUGUUCUGGGGUGAAAGUGAAACAUGGGCUGUUACCUCUUGUAGCUAAAUUGUUUGACUUUUAACGAAUCCCUUUCACUCUCUGGGCCUCAAAUCCUUCACCUACUCGGAGAUGUGCGUUCACCGUGAACCUAGACUGUUUAGAUUCAAAUUCCAGCAUCACUUCUUUGGUGUUAUGUGACCACAGGCAAGUUAACUCCAUCCCCCUGAGCUACGCGUUCCUCAUCUGUAAAAUGGGGAUAAUAUGACUCCUUUCAUUGGGUUGUACUGAGCGUGAAAUUAAGCUAACGAAAUCACUGGGCUUCAGUGCGCCCAAUCAAGAGUGGUCACUAGCGUUAAUCCCUGCUGAUUUCAUUAGCCGCAGACCCACUAAGCAACCACACACAGGUGUUAUUUAGGGCGUGGCUAGCAGCGCAAGGGACCGGCCCGGAUUUAUAGAACCAGGGUCCGGCGCUACGGUCUACAUUCCGCCUCGGCUGGACAUCGGAGCGUGGUCUUUUCGGGCCUGGGCUCCGCGCCCCCGAGGACCAGAAGCCGGGCUGUCCAGCGGCGGCCAGUGCGGAGCACCCGGCGCGCCGAGACUAAGCG
ensembl:lncRNA